AUGACUCCCAUCUUCAUGGUCAUCUGGAUGUUUAUAUCCUCCUUUACAGAGUCAUAUGGACAGGUCACUGUGACUCAGACUCCUGCAGUGAAAGCUGUUCAACAGGGAGAAUCCGUCACACUAAACUGUCGAACAAGCAGUAAUGUUUAUAUAGCUCACUUCAUCUGCAGCCCAUCAACACCCAGUGUGACCAAAGCAACAAAAGUCAGUAUAGCAUGCAGAUGUCAGAUUACUGUGACUCAGACUCCAGCAGUGAAAGCUGCUCUUGUGGGACAAACCAUCACACUCAACUGCAGGACCAGCACAGGACUUGAUGGGAUUUGUAGCAGAGGCCACUGUUUCUCCUGGUACCUUCAGAAACCUGGAGAAGCUCCUAAACUGUUAAUUUAUCUCAUAAGCUUGCGCUAUGGAUCAACUCCCAGUCGCUUUGUUGGUGGAGGAUCCAAUUAUGGCAGUGACUUCACUCUGACCAUCAGUGAUGUCCAGGCUGAGGAUGCAGGAGUUUACUACUGUCAGAGUCUCCAUAGUGGUAAUGUGUUCACACAGUGA